GUGAGGAAUUUUCCGCAAUGGGCGAAAGCCUGACGGAGCAAUGCCGCGUGAAGGAUGAAGGCCUAUGGGUUGUAAACUUCUUUUCUUAGAGAAGAAUAUUGACGGUAUCUGAGGAAUAAGCAUCGGCUAACUCUGUGCCAGCAGCCGCGGUAAGACAGAGGAUGCAAGCGUUAUCCGGAAUGAUUGGGCGUAAAUCGUCUGUAGGUGGCUUCAAAAGUCUCCUGUCAAAGAUCAGGGCUUAACCCUGGGCCGGCAGGAGAAACUCUGAGGCUAGAGUUUGGUAGGGGCAGAGGGAAUGCCCGGUGGAGCGGUGAAAUGCGUAGAGAUCGGGAGGAACACCAAAGGCGAAAGCACUCUGCUGGGCCACAACUGACACUGAGAGACGAAAGCGAGGGGAGCAAAAGGGAUUAGAAACCCUAGUAGUCC
rnacentral:rRNA from 1 species